UACAGAGGGGGCGAGCGUUUGUUCGGAAUUACUGGGCGUAAAGGGCGCGUAGGCGGCUUGGCAAGUGGAAGGUGAAAUCCCUCGGCUUAACCGGGGAACUGCGUCUGAUACUGGAUGGCUAGAGGUUGGGAGAGGGAUGCGGAAUUCCAGGUGUAGCGGUGAAAUGCGUAGAUAUCGGGAGGAAGGCCGGUGGCGAAGGCGGCUCACUGGCCCGAUACUGACGCUGAGGCACGAAAGCGUGGGGAGCAAACAGG
rnacentral:rRNA from 1 species